UUUUUUCACAACAUCUUUCCGUUUUUAUUAAGGUUUAAAAAGCAGUUCCAAAUACAUGAGUUACACUUUCUGGUAUAAUUGAAUCUGUAGAAAGGGCAAGAGCUAACAAAAUCUCUCAAAAACUAUAAAGUCACCUUAAAAAAAUUCCUUCUCAAAAGAUAUGUGUAUAUGUAUGACUGGUCACUUUGUGGUACAGCAGAAAUUAUCACAGGCUGGUAAAUUAACUAUACUUCGAUAAAACUUAAAAAGAAAAAAAAACCCCAAAAAAACAAAAAACUCCUCAGAUUGAGUCUUUUCUCCUUUUUGAAUCCUGAAUCCUGCUGUUAAAUGAAACUAGUUAUACAAAAAACCAUAGGAAUCUAUUUUAUGGUAAUUUUAGUACUUUCAGUUCAUAUUUUCUGUGCUGAUUCAUUUUAUCAAGAGUGAUAGUAAGUUCACUUAUGGUAAGCAUUCUAGUAUAAGUUGUUUAAAGAUGCAAAACAACUUUUUAAAAAUUAUUGCCAAAUAGUCUAUAUUUCUAUAACCCCCCCCAAAUCAAAGUUUUAAAGUUUAAAUGCCAGAUUAAAAUAACUGUAAAGACUACUUUUUCGAAAUUUCCAUCUACUUUCCCAACCUCCAUCUACUCCUAGUAAACAUCUGGGUGUCACAUGAACUGGGUCACCAAGGCCUGUUCCUUUCUAUUGUUCCUCUUGACAUUUAUUCCACUCUUUUCUCGUCCUCAAUAAGCUUUCUCUUUCCCUCUCAAAACUGAAUACUUUUCUCAUCUUAGUCUAACAUCUAUUUUCAUCCUCUCUUUUGAUAGCUGAUAAAGUCAGGCACACACAAUUCUUUCUCCACUACCAUAUUCAAGAGUGAUUUUCCACCCACUUACCUUUUCUUCCACUUUGAGAGCUGUACUCAUGUUUCUUCCUCACUACUGGCAUAAUUCAAAAGAAUCUAUUUGCCCUGGCUCAGCAUAUCCAAAGUCAUGUCAGCAGAUCCGCAAUGACUUGGGUACAGGAUUAUGGAGAAGCACAUCAUGUGAUGUUUGGGACAGCUAAAUCAACAUCUCAGAAUCGGAAGAAAUACACCAUCCAUACCUAGAAAGAUAAGAUUUCUAUUUUUUCAUCUAUCAUAGGAGAUUCCAAAGCCAGUGAAGCUAUAACCAGUGCUUCUCAUCACUAUCAUCAACGGCUUGUACAGCUAGAAAAAGGACAGUGAAUAAUAAAUUCUAAGACUAAGCCAAGAAGACAAAAUAGCACAUUGUACCACAUUCUGAAGUGGGACAUAACAUAAUUUAAGUCCUGAUAUUCAAGUGAAAAUCCGCAGGAUGCUAGUUAUAAGUAAUAAUAUCAUUUCUGAUUUAGCAUUACAGUACAAGAUGCAUUAAUUAUCCUGGGCUAUUACAUUUAUCUGGGGAGUAGGGGGGAGGAUUCUUAGAAAUAGCAAAGUAUUAAUUUAGCCACAUUCAAGUAAGAACACACAUGAUAUAACAGUUCAACGUUUUUAUAACUAGACUGAAGCUCUGAUAGCAGAAUGGAUAGCUACAUAUUUGUUAAACAUAUGAAUCAUGAUUAUUACUAUAUUUUGAUGAUAAACCCUCAGUAGACAUUACAGAAAGUAAUAUUUGCUCUUCCACUUUAUAUGAAUUUCUUGUAAAUUAUGAGGUGGUAAACUCUCUAGUUAUAUUAACAUUUACAUUUAAAUAAGAGCACAAUACUGACAAAUCACAAAAGUUAAUCAUAGUUGGUCCUUAAGCAUUAUCUAGGACUUAUUUCUAUUUUGUUUCUUGCUGAUAUGAUAUGAUUGGAAAUUUCAGACUAGUAAGUGGUAAAAUAUAUACUUUAAACACACAACUGAAAAAAAAAAUGAUAUUGUGCAAACCGAAGGGGAUUAUUUCCUUAUAGAAUUAACCUGUAGCAACCUAGCCAUGAACCAUCAUGUUCAAUGUGACUUGGGUCCAUGAAGUUUCAGAUUUUGUUCUUUUAACAAAGCACCCUGAAUAUCAUUUUGAAGCCUCCUAAUUAUUUUCUUGGAAGGAGGGUGUUAUGUGUAUUAUGAAAUAGUAUUUCAAACACUUUUUCUAGAACUACAUUGUAAUAUCAAAAAAUUAUUAGCACACAAUUAUAUAUAUAAAACAUAUGCUAUAUACUUCUAAUGUUUUUCAUAUAUCUACGAGGUAUAUACAAUCCAUACACAAGGUCAGUUAAAAUAGACCUCUAUUAUCAGUAUUACCUUUUUACCUUAAUUUUUUUCAUUUUUGUAUUGAAUUUUGUACAGUGGAGGCAUUCCAGACAUAAGUUAACAAUAGAAAAUUGAGGAAAAGCAACAAGGUAAUUGUUAAUUGUCUCGCCUGAUGAACUCUUAAAUCAACAAAGGAACCUGCCUCUCUGGCUAAUCAGCCCGCGUAGAUUCCCAGCCUAACAGAAGAGCACAGAAGUGACUCUACACUGCGGGGCUCUCUCUUGUUUUCCAAUGCAAACACCAAGUGAAUUAAAAUAAACCUGGAAAAAAAUUGCCAAUUAAUACUUCGGAGGUAUCUUUAUUUCGGUUGUGAUAUUAAUAACUAAAAUAUUCAUUCAAAUGUUCUGUAUCAAUGCCAUCAUUUCCGGACGCUGCCACCAAAGCAAACGCAGAGGGGCUGUCGUCCUUAACAAUUUUCUGAAAUACAGAAGCUCAGAGCAAGUUAUGCCUUUAUCAGUUGAUGGCAUAAGGAGAUGUUUUGACAAAGGGUCUGAAGCAGUUAAAAUAGUACCUUGAUUCUUUCAUUUCCACACGUGCAUUUAUUUGGGGGGGAACCUGGGAGGUUGGGGCGUGGGCAGAGAAGGAGCAACCUAACACUGAAAGUUUUACCUUCCAACAGGGUUUAAUCUCCGAGCCGGCCGCCGGGGCUGGCGUGUUCUUUUCCACUCUUCGUGUCUAUGAAGUUGGAGGGUCUCCCAGCAGGCAGCCCCCAGGUGGCAGACAGAGACCCCCUGCUCUGUUAGUAAUCUGCACCGCAAUUCACCUUUACUUCACCGUCCCCACCCGGACCCACCAAUGGGAGACACAAGGCAGGCCAUCGGGUAUUCUGGUCCCAAACGUGGGUUGCAAACAGAUUUACCUAAGGAACCCAGUGGCCUCUCUGGUAGCUGCGCUCGCCGACCCGGGAUGGAAAAAGGUCUGUGGGACAUUGACUUUUUUUCCUUAAGUCUAGCAGUAAUUAGGGCCGUGGGUGUAGAUCCAGUUCAGUUUUUCCACUUCUUCCAUUGGAAAGGUGGAAUGGAAAAAGGCCCUCAAGCGCAGAACACUGAAGGUUUGCGGACGUGGGGAGUGCCCUGCUAAGAGGUUGGCAAAUCGGAAGUCCGUAUGGGAGGAGGCCGAGGGCACCGACGUGGAGGGGGGGAUGUGUCUCGGCUUCCCGCUUUUCUUUUCCUCGAACUUGGGGUAGCCUAAAUCUCUAGCGACCUCUGUGCUUGAAAGCAGGCGAGGGGGUUCUAGGAAAUACCAGAAAGUUAAUCGCAAGGUUCUUCUGGGCCAGCAAAGCACAGUCAGACAGGGUUUCCUGGGCCUUCAAGGAGAGCGAGCAACCUCCGCACCGCACCGCUGCGCAGGUGGGAGGGGAAGGCAUUCUGAACCCUUCCGGGAGGCAAGUUAUUAACUCAGUUGAAUUGAUCGAAUGACGUUCUUUCAGAAAGGGGUCGUCUCCUGGGGCCCCCUUCUCGGUGGGUAUUUAGCAGGUAGAGGCGCAGGGCAAAUUCUCCUCUUAACCUGAAGUCGCAAAGAAUUAAUGUUUUCUUAACAGCACAGAUCAGGAGGCGAAGAGGAUUUUAAAUGCACACACGGUCGAAGCGCAUCCUCCCAUCCACCUCCGCGAAGUCCAAGCAGACGACGACCUUUAAGACUGUCCCUAAAAUCUUCUCUUCUGAAUUUACUAGCCAUUUCCCGGGAUUUGAAGAUUUUUCUCCAGUCCCCAAACCUCCUUCUCUUCUACUCUCACAGUCUGCUGGUAGAUGCCACCAAUGAUUGCCUCUCCCCUUUAAAACGGCUCCCACCCACGCUUCUCUCAGCUACAUUAAAGGGCCCCAAUACGCUUUAGCCACCAGUUUAAUUCGUAGAAAGUAGCUGUAACUCUUGAUAUCACCUCCACCGCCCACCCGAGAACUCCAACCCUGGACACCUUAUUACGAAGCUAUUUUUUUUUUUCGAGCGCUGAAUUCUGAGACGAAAGAGAGGGUUAUUUGAGGCAUCCUGGAAGAUUUCCGGGCCUCCAAUUCCCUCCCCCGCCUGUCUGGUAAUUUUCUGCUUCUGCUCCUCCUCCUCUCGACCUCCUCCAAGGUACCUUCUCCUCCCCUCCCCCACUGGUUCCCUGUAAACCUUCCGCGUGCGUUGGAAAUCAAUCCUUUGGCAAAAAUUCAGAGCUGCCGGUUGGAUAGGAUCGCAGCGGGGGAGAGCGUGUCGCUUCUUUCUGAAAGACUGCCAUUUGAUCAACUACACUUGAGUUAACUUGCUCCGGGUUUCCCGAGAGCUCGGGUGGGCCCGUGGGUGUUUUGCUAGAUUCAUUGCAGAUGUGGUAGCUUUCAGCUGAAGCGCCCAGGACCUGGAACUCCAAUUACCCCCGGCGAGAAUCCGAUACAUUUAAUGGAGGCUCUGCCAGGGGGUAGGGCUCAGUGCGUCCUUGGGUCAAAACCUCAUAGCACAUUGCACUAUGGUUCCAACCUGCGCUCCACGCAGAACUCUGAUCCUGUUAAAAACUGCCUGUUCCUAGUCACAUAAGAUUUCAAAAAGAAAAAAAAAAUUUAAAAAAGGAAGAAAAAGGUUUCAGUUGACAUUGCCAGCACUUUCGUGGAAUCAUAAUAAAUACCUCCAAAAAACAGUUUUAAAGGGAGGGUGCAAAUUCCUGUUCUCGCUUGGUCGAAGUCCUACCCGCAAGGAGGAGGAACCUCGCCUUCUCAAGACUGAUCUGAGGUUUGUGGCUUCGCCGCUGCCGGGAGCGUGGAAUUCUAUCUAGGCUGGGAACCGAGCAGCAGACCGCACAUGAACGCUGCCUCCCGGAUUGCCCUCUGCC
rnacentral:lncRNA from 1 species